UACGUAGGGUGCAAGCGUUGUCCGGAAUUAUUGGGCGUAAAGAGCUCGUAGGCGGCUUGUCACGUCGGGUGUGAAAGACCGGGGCUUAACUCCGGUUCUGCAUUCGAUACGGGCUAGCUAGAGUGUGGUAGGGGAGAUCGAAAUUCCUGGUGUAGCGGUGAAAUGCGCAGAUAUCAGGAGGAACACCGGUGGCGAAGGCGGAUCUCUGGGCCAGCACUGACGCUCAUGCACGAAAGCGUGGGGAGCAAACAGG
rnacentral:rRNA from 1 species